AAAUAUGGCACAAAUUAGCAGUAUAAAUCAAUGGUACCAUAACCAAUCUGAUGAAUAAGAUUCUAAUUUUGGAAAACAACAAAUAGCGGGAAACAAAAUAUCUAAUGCUGGAACACCUUGAUAACAAGUUUAUGGACCUCAAAGAGUACUCAACCAAUAACAGCUAUAAUGACUAUGCCAGUGUGAAAUCUUGCAAUCAUUUUCUUGAACAUGUUA
rnacentral:misc_RNA from 1 species